AACGAACGCUGGCGGCAGGCUUAACACAUGCAAGUCGAACGCACCGCAAGGUGAGUGGCAGACGGGUGAGUAACGCGUGGGAACGUGCCCUUCAGUUCGGAAUAACCCAGGGAAACUUGGGCUAAUACCGGAUACGUGCGAGAGCAGAAAGAUUUAUCGCUGAAGGAUCGGCCCGCGUCUGAUUAGCUAGUUGGUGGGGUAAUGGCCCACCAAGGCGACGAUCAGUAGCUGGUCUGAGAGGAUGAUCAGCCACAUUGGGACUGAGACACGGCCCAAACUCCUACGGGAGGCAGCAGUGGGGAAUAUUGGACAAUGGGCGCAAGCCUGAUCCAGCCAUGCCGCGUGAGUGAUGAAGGCCUUAGGGUUGU
rnacentral:rRNA from 1 species